CCGGGUCUCUGACUCUAAAACCACUGUGCAUCAAUACUAUUUCUGCUGAGGCGGGCCGCUCGCUGGGGGAGCUCAGGCCUGUAAAGGUGGCACGCCGAAGCAACUUUAAAGCACUUUUGACCUGAAAAGAAAAAACUUUCAAAAUAUCA
rnacentral:misc_RNA from 1 species